UACAGAGGGUGCGAGCGUUAAUCGGAAUUACUGGGCGUAAAGCGCGCGUAGGCGGCUUUGCAAGUCGGGUGUGAAAUCCCCAGGCUUAACCUGGGAACUGCAUUCGAGACUGCAUUGCUAGAGUAUGGGAGAGGGAAGUGGAAUUUCCGGUGUAGCGGUGAAAUCCGUAGAUAUCGGAAGGAACAUCAGUGGCGAAAGCGACUUCCUGGACCAAUACUGACGCUCAUGUGCGAAAGCGUGGGGAGCAAACAGG
rnacentral:rRNA from 1 species